rnacentral:rRNA from 1 species
AACCGCAUGGUUCAAAAGUGAAAGACGGUCUUGCUGUCACUUAUAGAUGGAUCCGCGCUGCAUUAGCUAGUUGGUAAGGUAACGGCUUACCAAGGCAACGAUGCAUAGCCGACCUGAGAGGGUGAUCGGCCACACUGGAACUGAGACACGGUCCAGACUCCUACGGGAGGCAGCAGUAGGGAAUCUUCCGCAAUGGGCGAAAGCCUGACGGAGCAACGCCGCGUGAGUGAUGAAGGUCUUCGGAUCGUAAAACUCUGUUAUUAGGGAAGAACAUAUGUGUAAGUAACUGUGCACAUCUUGACGGUACCUAAUCAGAAAGCCACGGCUAACUACGUGCCAGCAGCCGCGGUAAUACGUAGGUGGCAAGCGUUAUCCGGAAUUAUUGGGCGUAAAGCGCGCGUAGGCGGUUUUUUAAGUCUGAUGUGAAAGCCCACGGCUCAACCGUGGAGGGUCAUUGGAAACUGGAAAACUUGAGUGCAGAAGAGGAAAGUGGAAUUCCAUGUGUAGCGGUGAAAUGCGCAGAGAUAUGGAGGAACACCAGUGGCGAAGGCGACUUUCUGGUCUGUAACUGACGCUGAUGUGCGAAAGCGUGGGGAUCAAACAGGAUUAGAUACCCUGGUAGUCCACGCCGUAAACGAUGAGUGCUAAGUGUUAGGGGGUUUCCGCCCCUUAGUGCUGCAGCUAACGCAUUAAGCACUCCGCCUGGGGAGUACGACCGCAAGGUUGAAACUCAAAGGAAUUGACGGGGACCCGCACAAGCGGUGGAGCAUGUGGUUUAAUUCGAAGCAACGCGAAGAACCUUACCAAAUCUUGACAUCCUUUGACAACUCUAGAGAUAGAGCCUUCCCCUUCGGGGGACAAAGUGACAGGUGGUGCAUGGUUGUCGUCAGCUCGUGUCGUGAGAUGUUGGGUUAAGUCCCGCAACGAGCGCAACCCUUAAGCUUAGUUGCCAUCAUUAAGUUGGGCACUCUAAGUUGACUGCCGGUGACAAACCGGAGGAAGGUGGGGAUGACGUCAAAUCAUCAUGCCCCUUAUGAUUUGGGCUACACACGUGCUACAAUGGACAAUACAAAGGGCAGCGAAACCGCGAGGUCAAGCAAAUCCCAUAAAGUUGUUCUCAGUUCGGAUUGUAGUCUGCAACUCGACUACAUGAAGCUGGAAUCGCUAGUAAUCGUAGAUCAGCAUGCUACGGUGAAUACGUUCCCGGGUCUUGUACACACCGCCCGUCACACCACGAGAGUUUGUAACACCCGAAGCCGGUGGAGUAACCUUUUAGGAGCUAGCCGUCGAAGGUGGGACAAAUGAUUGGGGUGAAGUCGUAACAAGGUAGCCGUAUCGGAAGGUGCGGCUGGAUCACCUCCUUU